rnacentral:tRNA from 2 species
GGGGACGUGGCGGAAUGGCAGACGCGCAUGACUUAGGAUCAUGUGCCGCAAGGCGUGUGGGUUCAACUCCCACCGUCCCCACCA